CAAACAGGAAAAGUCACCAGUGAUUGGUUUGUCCGUUCUGGGCUACCGAAGGAACAUGGCGGACUACGUGAAGAGGACCGCUCCCUAUGUAGAUAUGAAGGCCUUAUUCUGAGCUAAUGAAAACACAACAAUUCUUAGUUUCAGGUGAUUAUACACUGAU